AGUGGCGGACGGGUGAGUAACACGUGGGUAACCUGCCCUUAAGUGGGGGAUAACAUUUGGAAACAGAUGCUAAUACCGCAUAGAUCCAAGAACCGCAUGGUUCUUGGCUGAAAGAUGGCGUAAGCUAUCGCUUUUGGAUGGACCCGCGGCGUAUUAGCUAGUUGGUGAGGUAAUGGCUCACCAAGGCGAUGAUACGUAGCCGAACUGAGAGGUUGAUCGGCCACAUUGGGACUGAGACACGGCCCAAACUCCUACGGGAGGCAGCAGUAGGGAAUCUUCCACAAUGGACGCAAGUCUGAUGGAGCAACGCCGCGUGAGUGAAGAAGGCUUUCGGGUCGUAAAACUCUGUUGUUGGAGAAGAAUGGUCGGCAGAGUAACUGUUGUCGGCGUGACGGUAUCCAACCAGAAAGCCACGGCUAACUACGUGCCAGCAGCCGCGGUAAUACGUAGGUGGCAAGCGUUAUCCGGA
rnacentral:rRNA from 2 species